UCAGUUGGUUAAUAAAGAUAG
ensembl:piRNA 21ur-4426 ncRNA